rnacentral:lncRNA from 1 species
GAUCCGGGGUUGGCUCGUUCAACGGCGGCGCUGAGGAACCACCAGGAGGCGCAGCGUCGAGGCUUCAGGCAGCGGUGAGGCGCUCUGUCUGCUCUUACCAAAAGUUUGUUCCUUCAGCCAGGCGCCGUGGUUGGCAGGCUCGGAGGAGAAGACCUCGGGCAUAGAUAACGGUGCCAGGCGGCAAUGGCAGUCUUUCCGCAGCAACAGUGCGUACUGCUGAGCAUAUUGUGUAUGUGCUUCCGGAAAACCGUUUUCUUGUAGACAUGGUGUCGAUCGCAAAAGCGCCUCUGGCUUGAGCUUUUUGGCGUUUCUCAGCCCCGUUUGUUUACUUACUUCAUGCCAUUGUUUUGAGUUGUCGUCUCACUGCGCCUGGCCUGGAACUCACUUACGUAGACCAGCCAGGCUGGCCUCAGAGCUUGCAGUGAUUUCUCUGCCUCUGCAGGUUUGUGCCCACAGCACUUGCGGUUGCCUUUUUGUAAAUAAAUGUGUGUGGGUGUUUUGGAUGUUUGUA